rnacentral:rRNA from 1 species
GUGGGGAAUUUUGGACAAUGGGCGCAAGCCUGAUCCAGCAAUGCCGCGUGCAGGAAGAAGGCCUUCGGGUUGUAAACUGCUUUUGUACGGAACGAAACGGUCCGGGUUAAUACCCUGGGCUAAUGACGGUACCGUAAGAAUAAGCACCGGCUAACUACGUGCCAGCAGCCGCGGUAAUACGUAGGGUGCAAGCGUUAAUCGGAAUUACUGGGCGUAAAGCGUGCGCAGGCGGUGCUGUAAGACAGGCGUGAAAUCCCCGGGCUCAACCUGGGAAUUGCGCUUGUGACUGCAGUGCUGGAGUACGGCAGAGGGGGAUGGAAUUCCGCGUGUAGCAGUGAAAUGCGUAGAUAUGCGGAGGAACACCGAUGGCGAAGGCAGUCCCCUGGGCCUGUACUGACGCUCAUGCACGAAAGCGUGGGGAGCAAACAGGAUUAGAUACCCCGGUAGUCC